AUGAGAGGCGAGAGGAGGCCGCUCUGCGCGCUGCUGCUGGUUCUGCUCUGCCUGGCCGCGCAGGUGCAGGGCGCGUGCUGCCUUGCCGGAGGGGGCGGCGGAGGAGGCUCGCGCGGAGGGGGCGGUGGAGGCUUCGGAGGAGGAGGCUCGCGCGGAGGUGGCGGUGGAGGCUUCGGAGGAGGAGGCUCGCGCCAGGCGGGGUGCCACCACCACCACCAUGACGACCACUCGCACAGGCACUGCGGCGCGGCAGCUGAGCCGCGUGGCCGCGGCGUCUCGAGGGUCUCCGGUGCGGCCGCCGCCCUUGCCGCCGCAGCGCUCGUCUGGUGGCGCUGA
rnacentral:rRNA from 1 species